rnacentral:rRNA from 1 species
GUUUACCGCCAUACCAACCUGAACACGCCAGAUCUCGUAUGUUCUUGGACGCUAAGCAGGGUCGGACCUGAUUAGUACUUGGAUGGGAGAAUAGAGAAAAGAACAAGCUAGGCA